rnacentral:lncRNA from 1 species
GAAUUUAUGGAAAUUGGUGAUACUAGGGCCUGACCUGAUUUUGGAUAAGAUAUCCUAGUAAUGAUUAAACAAAAAUGUAGAAUGGAAUCUGCGAAUUAGAAAUAAUCUUUUCUUAAACUGCCUAGGAGGCUUCUCAUAUUUCUUAUUCUCCUUUUCUUCUUCCUUUUCUCCGUAUUUUCUUUUGCAUUCUCAGUUCAUCUCUUAUGUGGUCUGUAAGUUGGUCAAAGUGUCCAACGUGGUUUGUAGGACCCCUGCACAGAACAUGUUUAGGAUCUAGCACUGACUAAGUGUUGUGUGCAGGGGUCCUACAUGUGGACAACAGAUGAGUCCUAGUAAUAUAGGUAA